rnacentral:lncRNA from 1 species
GUUGAUCUAAACUGAUCCAAUGGCUGAGACCAAAUUCCCAUUUCUUUCCUUUUUAAACAACCUAACCCUAAUAUUCAUUUUGCCAAAAAAAGAAAUCAUAUUUCCUCCUUCUUCUCUCUUCUUUCUCUCUCUAUCAAACAGCCAUAGCUGCCGCUGUCAGCCAACCACCACGACUGGAGAAAUCUGGCGUCACUUCUUCCCUUCUCCCCAUAUCCUCCUGUCGGUGACCAUGAACCCAGUUGCAUCACUGAAUUUUGGCGAAGCCCUUUCCCAGCUGUUGUUGGCCAACAACCAACCGCCUCGAUGGCUACCUCCACUGCUCAUUUCCUUCUUCCUCCGUUCCUCCUUCUCUUCUCUCUGUCGCUGCCAGCCACGAUAAACCCAUCAAAAUCAUCAUCUCCGGCAAACAGCAACCCAAUGAUGCCUCAUCCGAUAAACUAUCGACCACUGACCCCCUCCAUUCUCCUUUCCAUCUAUGCAGCCACUCCAGUCAGCCACCGUCGCGGCCUUACGCAUCGAAAAAUAAUGGGUUCUAGAGAACCCAUCCCAGGUUUAUUGUUUUGCUUAAAUUUUCUUCUUCUACAUUUUUCAUUUCAUUUUCUCUUUUCUGAUUGAUUUUAUUAGGUUCAAAUUGAUGGAAUCUUAUUGUGAAUUUUUUAUUUGAAUCAUCCAAUCUCGUGUGUGUUUGCGUGUCUAGAAUUUCGUACAGGAAAAGCCCCAAAUUUUAUGAUGCUUAAUUUUAACCUUGAAUAUCAAUUAGAUUGUCGGUUUGUGCUUACUCAAAUUUUGAAGUUUUUUUUCCUCAUAUAUGGAUUGUGUUAUAAUAUAGUUAGUGUUAGCAGAAUUUGAUCAGACUUGACGAUCGGUGUAAUGGUAAAAAGUUGCUAGAUUUUUUUACUCUCAACUGAUAUUAUGGGACUAAUUUUAUGUCUAAUUUGGAUAAUUCGAAUUGGAUAAUCAAGUUAAGGAACUACUUUAUGAUUAAUUCUUUUUAUUUUUGUUUGGCUUACUGAUUUUUGUAAAAUUUAACGUUGUCUAUUCUCAUAUGAUAUCUAUUUAUCUUUUUAAUAUAUCUCAAGAAAUAUUUUUAACUGUUAAUUUAUAGAAAUUCAUUAUGAAAAUUCAUGUGAAUAGAUUAUUACUUAGCUAAUUGUGGUAUAUCUUGAUUCAAUGUUGGUUAAGGAAAAUUUUGAUUGAUUCUGAAUAUCCAUUUUUCCUUUAUUUUUUACAUGAUUAUCUGGCUUAGUGAAUUCAGUCGCGGGUUAAGAAGAUUUUUCUUUCCCUUGAUUGAGGAAUAAAAUAUUUUCCUUCCCUUUAUUAUUGAGUGGUCACAACCUAUAUAAGCACCCCUUCUAUCGUUCUUUUGGGAAAACUUACAAUAUAUACACUCUCUCAUAUGAAAGCUUUAAGGAAAAAAGAAACAAUUUUACUUUAUUACUUUUAUGGGUUGCACUUACUUUUGGAGCAUUGGCCUUGAUCUUUCGGUGCCAAUUCAUGCUUGGAUUCUGUGUUGCUUGUUGUUUCUUAUUACUGUUUGUUAUCUUAAAUCGAUAAGUCCCUAUAGAUGCAAUUUCCUUUGCAUUUUAUGUGAUGAUGCUAGAAAACAUGCCUAUAGGUACUAUUCGGUGUUUGUCAUACUCUUAUUUCAUUAUUUUUAGGUCUUGUGUCCAUCUUUGGUGUGUUCUUUGGUUUCGUUGUCUGGUUUAUGCAUAGCAGGUAUCUUUAUAGAUAAAUUGUGGGCUUUAAAGAGUCACCCGGGAAUUGGAGAUGUAUUGCUCAUUCCUUUUCAUUUACAUAUUUAUUAUUCAUUAUGUUGUAAUAACUUUUGUAAACCUCUACUCAUGUAAUAGUAAAUUUGGGACUUCUCGGUGGGCGGGGUAUAUGUGAUUUAACUGCUCUUUGUGAAUCAUUUAGGCAAAUAUAAUCUAGGAUCAACAAUUAAUUUAUGUGAUCACUUAGAAAUCAUAUGUUCGGGAUAACGAUUAUCUUUUGGAAUAGGCCAAUGUCAACAAGUUAUACUUAGUAUUUUAAU